UUUUCCCCCUUCUCACUGGCCAGGAUGCAGACAUAAUGGCAGGAGCUGGAGCAGCCACCUUAGGACCCAGAGCUCAAAGCCACAUGUUGAGAAGGGCAGAGAUACUGUAUCCACUCUGGACUGCUGACCUUUGAACUAUUAUGUUAUUUCUAGGGAAAUGCAAACCAAAGGAUGUGGUCUCUAAUCCAAUCCUUAGAGAAUGUAACCAUGAAAUCACUUUUCCUACCUGGUAAACAAAAGAUAAUGAGAAAAGUGAGGUCAGAAGUUGCUUUACUGAGUCAGGAGCUAUAACAGGUGCUGGAGCAGGGGUGUGAUCUGAAUGACCAGAGGGAAGGACUGAUGGAAUUGGACGGGGAGAGCCUCCAGGCCCUUUAGGCUUCUCUCUGACUGUAUAAUGAAAUACAAAAGUCAGCCUCCA